GAAAGAAAGAAAGAAAGAAAAAAGUUAAAAGAAACAAAACCUGGAGACGCGCAUUAAAUGUGGAAGAAGAAACAAAUAUCAGAACAGGUAAAAUUGCUAAACAGAUUUAUAAAAUCGAAUCCUUAAAUCCAAAAACCUAAAUCAUCUUAAAUUCCUAACCAGGGUUUCACAGAUUUUUUUUUUUAAUACACAGUAGACUGGAGUGCACAGAGCAGAAAAAUC
rnacentral:misc_RNA from 1 species